ACGGGGACUAGCCUGGGUGGCCCGGCGUCACCUGUGACCCGAAACCGUCGUUACGCGGGGGGCGAAGUCUGAGGAAGGUUCUGGCGACCGGCCGGAGUCCGGCCCGUCCUGACGUUGAAGCCUCGUCCUGUGAGGUCGGUGGACAGGGAUCUAUUCCCCGGAGGGGGUUGCGACCUGUUGCCGCGGGGAUCGGUUCAGGCCCGGAAGGGAGCAGACUUACCGUGGACAUUCGGCGCCCACGGGGUUGCGGGGUGGAGGAUGGACGUUCUGGCGAAGGCUGGCACGUGGAAUCGACCGAAGACGCGUCCCCAA
rnacentral:SRP_RNA from 1 species